rnacentral:rRNA from 1 species
UACGUAGGGUCCGAGCGUUGUCCGGAAUUACUGGGCGUAAAGCGCACGUAGGCGGAUCUUUAAGUCAGGGGUGAAAUCCUGGAGCUCAACUCCAGAACUGCCUUUGAUACUGGGGAUCUCGAGUCCGGGAGAGGUGAGUGGAACUGCGAGUGUAGAGGUGAAAUUCGUAGAUAUUCGCAAGAACACCAGUGGCGAAGGCGGCUCACUGGCCCGGUACUGACGCUGAGGUGCGAAAGCGUGGGGAGCAAACAGG